GAUGAACGCUAGCGGCAGGCCUAACACAUGCAAGUCGAGGGGUAGAGGAAGCUUGCUUCCUUGAGACCGGCGCACGGGUGCGUAACGCGUAUGCAAUCUACCUUAUACAGAGGGAUAGCCCAGAGAAAUUUGGAUUAAUACCUCAUAGUAUUAUGAAAUCGCAUGGUUUUAUAAUUAAAGUUCCAACGGUAUAAGAUGAGCAUGCGUCCCAUCAGUUAGUUGGUAAGGUAACGGCUUACCAAGACAAUGAUGGGUAGGGGUCCUGAGAGGGAGAUCCCCCACACUGGUACUGAGACACGGACCAGACUCCUACGGGAGGCAGCAGUGAGGAAUAUUGGUCAAUGGACGCAAGUCUGAACCAGCCAUGCCGCGUGCAGGAUGACGGUCCUAUGGAUUGUAAACUGCUUUUAUACAGGAAGAAACACUCCCUCGUGAGGGAACUUGACGGUACUGUAGGAAUAAGGAUCGGCUAACUCCGUGCCAGCCGCCGCCGUAA
rnacentral:rRNA from 1 species